GAUGAACGCUGGCGGCGUGCCUAAUACAUGCAAGUCGAGCGAACAGACGAGGAGCUUGCUCCUCUGACGUUAGCGGCGGACGGGUGAGUAACACGUGGAUAACCUACCUAUAAGACUGGGAUAACUUCGGGAAACCGGAGCUAAUACCGGAUAAUAUCUUGAACCGCAUGGUUCAAUAGUGAAAGACGGUUUUGCUGUAACUUAUAGAUGGAUCCGCGCCGCAUUAGCUAGUUGGUACGGUAACGGCUUACCAAGGCAACGAGGCGUAGCCGACCUGAGAGGGUGAUCGGCCACACUGGAACUGGGACACGGUCCAUACUCCUACGGGAGGCAGCAGUAGGGAAUCUGCCGCAGUGGUCGAAAGCCUGACGGAGCAACGCCGCGUGUGUGAUGAAGGUCUUCGGAUCGUAAAACUCUGUUAUUAGGGAAGAACAACUGUGUAAGUAACUAUGCCCGUCGUGACGGUACCUAAUCAGAAAGCCACGGCUAACUACGUG
rnacentral:rRNA from 1 species